GACGAACCGUGCGAACGUUGUUCGGAUUCACUGGGCUUAAAGGGCGCGUAGGCGGGCGAUCAAGUCCGGGGUGAAAUCUUUCAGCUUAACUGGAAGCGUGCCUCGGAUACUGGUGGCCUCGAGGGAGGUAGGGGCACGUGGAACUUCCGGUGGAGCGGUGAAAUGCGUAGAUAUCGGAAGGAACGCCGGUGGCGAAAGCGGCGCACUGGACCACAACUGACGCUGAGGCGCGAAAGCUAGGGGAGCAAACAGGG
rnacentral:rRNA from 1 species